rnacentral:rRNA from 1 species
CCCUUAGAUGUUCUGGGCUGCACACGCGCUACACUGAAGGGAUCAGCGUGUUCUUUUCCUGGUCCGAAAGGAUCGGGUAACCCGCUGAACCCCCUUCGUGGUAGGGAUCGGAGCUUGCAAUUAUUCUCCGUGAACCAGGAAUUCCCAGUAAACGCAAGUCAUCAGCUUGCAUUGAUUACGUCCCUGCCCUUUGUACACACCGCCCGUCGCACCUACCGAUUGAAUGGUCCGGUGAAAUCUCCGGACUGGCGUGAGUCGGAGCAAUCUGACAAACACCGGAAAGUUGAUUAAACCUUACCAUUUAGAGGAAGGUGAANUCGUAACA